AGUCGUACAUACAUACAAACAACCAUAUAUACAUACAUACACAUUUGUAUAUACAUAUAUGUAUAUAUAUAAGAACAACGGUAAGAAUUGCAAACGUGGAAUUGGAGCUGGAUUCCGGUAAGGCUGGAGGGUCAUACUUGGAAAGAAACUGUCUUGGCUUCUACAAAGGCGGAAUUAUUUAACACGCUUAUAAACAGACGAUAAAUUUGAAGGACUAUGACUGUAAGAAGAGAGAUAUUUACGACACAACCAGAUUUCCUUGU
rnacentral:lncRNA from 1 species